GCUCCGCGUGUCGGGCGCGGGGUGACUGGCUCCAGCCUGGGCCGCAGGGGCCGCGGCGGGGGAGGCGCCUCUGUCCCCAGGGUUAGCUCCGGUCCCCGGCGAUGGGGCGCAGGCGGGCCGCGGCGGCCCUUCCGUCCAGGUGAGUUCGCUGGGAGAUCUGUGUGCAGGCUGAACGCGUGCUGGUGUCUUUGCUGCCUGGUCCCGGGAACCUGGAGUGUCGUUGUUGGGGGUUUAGAACUUCCUAGGUUUCUUUGCUUUCAUUUACUCAACCUGUAACUUCUGAAGCCUGAUCUGCUCAAGACCCUGUUUUGUGUGGAUGUAAAUAAAAGGGUUCAGUCCCCAAGGAGACUUUCCCUGCACUUUAUGGUUUUCAUGACUGUGUGUGACAUGUCGCUUCUGCCUCUGAGCUACGUAGUUGGCAGCACCGGUCCCACUGAGUGACGUAGAGAGCCGCUCCCGGUUCUCUUUAUGAUGCAGAAGCACCCAGGGCCCUGCUCAUCCUAGAGCAUGAGCCGUCUCAAAAUGGGGGCCCGUGGAGGGAGGUGACCGUUGUCUCCCGGUGACCCAGGGGGCUGCUCGCAAGAGCACAUAACUCUCGGAGUGGGCACCUGCCCUGCUUUCCGUGCUUGUCUUUAGAGAAAGGGUAGUAAUUGCCCAUAUUAACAUCUUGUGUUAGGAUACGUAUACUGGGGGAGACUGGACGUGUUGGUGUUUCUGAAAUAAACCAUUACUCCCCGCUUUG